rnacentral:rRNA from 1 species
UACAGAGGGUGCAAGCGUUACUCGGAAUUACUGGGCGUAAAGCGUGCGCAGACGGUUGCGUAAGUCAGAUGUGAAAGCCCCGGGCUCAACCUGGGAAUUGCAUUUGAGACUGCGUAGCUAGGGUGCGGAAGAGGGAAGCGGAAUUUCCGGUGUAGCGGUGAAAUGCGUAGAUAUCGGAAGGAACACCAGUGGCGAAAGCGGCUUCCUGGUCCAGCACAGACGUUCAGGCACGAAAGCGUGGGGAGCAAACAGG